UAAAUAACAAUUUUCGUACAUGAAUUGGUAUUUACUUUACAAGUCAACUUUUUAUGUUCAUAUAGGAGAUCAGACUGGUAACUGAAUCAGAGCUCAUGACCUGAAAUGGGUAAGGUGAUCUGAAUUGAGAUGUUUAAAUCGCAAGACAGAACAAUUGAAAUCCUACUGGAAGACAGGGGGCCCCACAGAAAAUAGAUGUGCUCUAGGGGCAAUGAACCAGUCCUCCACUACACUAGACACUGACUGCAGGUACAAGAGUGAGCCCAGCUGAGAGCAUCUGCGCCUGGCACAGACCAGCAGUACAAUGAUCUGAGCCCAAGGCAAGUUGUUAACCCACAGAAUGACCAGUUAAUAAACUUCGGAUCUCUAAAGCCA